rnacentral:rRNA from 1 species
CGGGACGCUGCAGCAGUGAGGAAUAUUGCACAAUGGGGGGAACCCUGAUGCAGCAACGCCGCGUGGAGGAUGACGCAUUUCGGUGUGUAAACUCCUUUUAUAUGUCAAGAAAAUGACGGUAGCAUAUGAAUAAGCACCGGCUAACUCCGUGCCAGCAGCCGCGGUAAUACGGAGGGUGCAAGCGUUACUCGGAAUCACUGGGCGUAAAGGACGCGUAGGCGGGUUGGAAAGUCAGGUGUGAAAUCCUACAGCUUAACUGUAGAACUGCACUUGAAACUUCUAAUCUAGAGUAUGGGAGGGGGAGAUGGAAUUAGUGGUGUAGGGGUAAAAUCCGUAGAUAUCACUAGGAAUACCUAAAGCGAAGGCGAUCUCCUGGAACAUUACUGACGCUAAGGCGUGAAAGCGUGGGGAGCAAACAGGAUUAGAUACCCGUGUAGUC